rnacentral:lncRNA from 1 species
UAGCUAGCAAGUGGUUUGUCCUUAGAGUAGCAGAGAAGGAAACUUGCUCCCCAUCCGAUAAGACAGAGGGCAAAGGAGACUAUUUCUUAGGGACACAGUUGAUCUCCAGAUACGACCAUGUAUUUGUGGCUCAAACUUCUGGCCUUCAGCUUGGCCCUUCUCGGCCCAGAAGUCUUUGUCACAGGGCAAGGAACAACCGACGAUGGUUUUUCAUCCACGCUGAUGCCUCACCUGACCCCACAGCCUGACUCACAGACCCCCUCUGCCAGAGGAGCUGACACUCAGACACUCAGCAGCCAAGCUGACCUCACCACACUCACGGCUGCUCCCAGCGGCGAGACUGACCCACCAGGUGUGCCCGAAGAGAGUACUGUACCGGAGACCUUUCCUGGAGGCACCCCCAUCCUUGCACGCAACAGCACUGCUCCCUCACCUACACACAC